AACAACCGCUAGGGGUGCCUUAAGUAAUGGGCUGAGAUUAAAGUGUUUCUUUAAGACCCUUAUAACCUGAUCUGGUUUGUACCAGCGUAGGGAAGUGGCUUACGGCAUUU
rnacentral:ncRNA from 1 species